rnacentral:tRNA from 1 species
CGCUCCUGAGAUGAGGAACUAUAUAGAGAUUUUGGGGUUCUCCUCUCCUUCUUGGCGAAGAGGGAGAAGAGA